rnacentral:rRNA from 1 species
UACAGAGGUCUCGAGCGUUGUUCGGAUUCAUUGGGCGUAAAGGGUGCGUAGGUGGCGCUGUAAGUCGGGUGUGAAAUCCUGAGGCUUAACCUCAGAACUGCAUUCGAUACUGCGGCGCUUGAGGACUGGAGAGGAGACUGGAAUUUACGGUGUAGCGGUGAAAUGCGUAGAUAUCGUAAGGAAGACCAGUGGCGAAGGCGGGUCUCUGGACAGUUCCUGACGCUGAGGCACGAAGGCCAGGGGAGCAAACGGG